UUGUCCGUUCACUCCCAACCAGCAGACACCAGCUGCAUCCUACAGCUUCCCAAAGAUGUGCACUAUCUGCUCCAGCCUCAUGGGGCCCCCACCUGGGGCGCCAUCCCUAAACUACCCCCACCUGGCCGCUCCCCUCUGGCUCAGAGGCCUCUCAGGCGCCAGCACAAGCUGGGAGCGUGAGUGUAUUACAACCCAACGGCGGCCCAUCUUCAGCAGGAAGCAAGAACCAUUUUGGAAACUGUCAUGUAACUUACUUUCUCCUUUAACCUCGUCAUCGUUUUCUGUAGGGGGAAAAAAAACAGAGAAAAAGAGAAAAAAAUGAGUUUUACAAAUGAAAUGGAACCUUUUUAUAUAUACAUACAUACAUAUCUAUAUAUCUAUAUAAAAUAAAGUAAUUUUCCAAAAU
rnacentral:lncRNA from 1 species